CCUCUUCAGUUUCGGUGCGGCUUUGACAUUGUUCUUCCUUGGCAUGGGAAACCUAAUGCUUCUCACCCCUUCCUUGAUGAUAUUCCAAACUUUUUCCAUCAGCGAUUUGUAGGUUCAAUCCCUGACAAUAUUCCAAAAAAAUUCCAUCACCGGUUUGAAGGAGGUUCAAUAGUAAGGAUAAAUAACUCCAUUAUGGAAGUUGACUGGGUCGGCUUUCUAUUUUAUGUAACAUUUGAGUUAAAUAAUCAUCCUAUACUAUCUAGUUAUACACAUCAAAUUCUCUCCCAGCCACUACCACAUCCUUUUUAUCUAUCUUUUGAGAGUGAAUACACGGAAGAACGGUUUGAUAUGCAACUUAAUUUGGAACUAAACAAGGUUGAUGGCAAACAUUAUCUAUGGACAAUUUAUAUCUCUCGGGAACACUGUCACUUUGUAAAAACACGGGCAGAUAUCACAUUUAAAGCCUCUGAAGGUUUGAUUAUCAAGGAAUGGGGGCUGCGGGUCCUAACCAAGGAAGACAUAGAGGCCUCAGAAGUGGGACAGAGCAUACAUCUUCCUUUAGAGAAUGUGAAUGUAACACAAAGCAGAAGCAGUAGCUUUGAUCCUACAAAGAUACAACAUCCUUACAAUUGGUUAGUUUCUAAAGAAGAUGAAGCCGAGAAAGAUGAAGCCAAGGGGAAGGAAACUGAUCUCUUUAAUCUUGGCCUUUUAACUGAAAAACCACAGUGAAAAAAGUACAAUAUAUUCUCUGAACGGGAUGACUUUCAAAUGCAAUAUGGUUCAAUUGGAUGGUAUGUUAUUGCAACUCGUGGCUAUGCACAAGUGGUUCCUUGAAAGCCAAGUGAUUGCUUGCACCUAUGAUGGGCGCUUUCAGGUUUGUCUUGCCAAGAAUAAAGCAGAAGACUCUAGGAUGAAGUCAGGAUAUUUGUACUAGUUGAUAAUCAAAUCUUUGUACCAAUUAGUUUAUUUUCAUAUUGCAUAAAAAAUUCAUAAUUCAAAAUAUCAUUUUGAUCGGCCACUUGGGUGUUGAACUUGUGGAGGUGUCUUCUGUUUGAGAAGGGUUGAUAGGCUUUAAUUUAAAUCAAGACAAUUAAUCGAA